GGGGGUGAAAAGGCCUCGACCUAUAGAUGAGGUGAAGGGUUGCAUGUCGUGCGGGUAAGCCCCCUACGUUAGUGAGGGUUUACAAAAAUUUAAACGCAACACCACAAUUUGCUGGUGUAGGCAGCGCAUUAGCUGCCCCUGUUAGAGCGCCAUACGUGGGUUUAUCCCCCGUAGGGGUACACUAAUACGGACUUCUAUGCUUUUCGUCUCAAGAGGCAUAGGGGGUCAUUUUUGAGACUAAGGGCAAGCUUUUUACUUUGGGGGUUUGCUUCGAAAAUUUACAAGGUUGCCCCUGGGUAUAUCCUUUCCUUCGGAGCUAUUUAGGGUAAGAUAAAAGAAGGAAAAAACAUGUAGGAGCUCUUUAUUAACCCUGUAGGGACGCGGGUUCGACUCCCGCCACCUCCACCA
rnacentral:tmRNA from 1 species